UUGAACGCGAAGAACCUUACCAGCCCUUGACAUGUCCAGGACCGGUCGCAGAGACGUGACCUUCUCUUCGGAGCCUGGAACACAGGUGCUGCAUGGCUGUCGUCAGCUCGUGUCGUGAGAUGUUGGGUUAAGUCCCGCAACGAGCGCAACCCCCGUCCUUAGUUGCUACCAUUUAGUUGAGCACUCUAAGGAGACUGCCGGUGAUAAGCCGCGAGGAAGGUGGGGAUGACGUCAAGUCCUCAUGGCCCUUACGGGCUGGGCUACACACGUGCUACAAUGGCGGUGACAAUGGGAAGCGAAGACGCAAGUCCUAGCAAAUCUCAAAAAGCCGUCUCAGUUCGGAUUGGGCUCUGCAACUCGAGCCCAUGAAGUUGGAAUCGAUAGUAAUCGUGGAUCAGCACGCCACGGUGGAUACGUUCCCGGGUCUUGUACACACGCAA
rnacentral:rRNA from 1 species